rfam:Salmo salar isolate Sally breed double haploid chromosome ssa09, whole genome shotgun sequence.
UCCCGUGUGGCUCAGUUGGUAGAGCAUGGUGUUUGCAACACCAGGGUUGUGGGUUUGAAACCCACAGGGGAC